rnacentral:rRNA from 1 species
UGGGGAAUAUUGCACAAUGGGCGCAAGCCUGAUGCAGCCAUGCCGCGUGUAUGAAGAAGGCCUUCGGGUUGUAAAGUACUUUCAGCGGGGAGGAAGGGAGUAAAGUUAAUACCUUUGCUCAUUGACGUUACCCGCAGAAGAAGCACCGGCUAACUCCGUGCCAGCAGCCGCGGUAAUACGGAGGGUGCAAGCGUUAAUCGGAAUUACUGGGCGUAAAGCGCACGCAGGCGGUUGAUUGAGUCAGAUGUGAAAUCCCCGGGCUCAACCUGGGAACUGCAUCUGUUACUGGCAAGCUUGAGUCUCGUAGAGGGGGGUAGAAUUCCAGGUGUAGCGGUGAACUGCGUAGAGAUCUGGAGGAAUACCGGUGGCGAAGGCGGCCCCCUGGACGAAGACUGACGCUCAGGUGCGAAAGCGUGGGGAGCAAACAGG